rnacentral:rRNA from 1 species
AUGGAUUCACCAGUCGCAGCCGCGGUCCAUUUCGGCGUCUGGGGGAGUCAACCGCUCGGGUCGUCCACCCACGCCUCCGCCUCCGCCUCCACCUCCACAUCCACCUCCACUCGCGCACUGGCGGCGGCGGCGGUUGCGCAGGCUGACUGCUUCCUUCGGAAGGAAUCCUUCCCCAGCCAAUGGAUUGCUGCUACUAUUAUUAAUCUGUGCAUAUUUUCUAGCUGGGCAACUUCUCAUAAGGAAGUCAAUUGGUACUACAGUGACAAUAAAGGAAAGAUGGGGCUGAUCGGCAUCAUUAUGACUUUGACAUUUCUGCUCUCGUUUGCAGCGUCUGAUCGCCAAGGUGAUGCAUUAUAUGAUAUGAAGCUGAAGCUGAACGCUACUGGCACACAGCUUACAGACUGGAAUCAAAAUCAAGUUAACCCUUGCACUUGGAAUUCUGUUAUUUGUGACAGUAACAAUAAUGUUGUGCAAGUAACAUUGGCUUCUAUGGGGUUCACUGGAGUUCUGUCGCCAAGAAUUGGAGACCUCGAGCAUUUGAAUGUUCUGUCCUUACCUGGUAACAAGAUUACCGGUACCAUACCAGAGCAGCUUGGGAACCUAUCUAGUUUGACAAGCUUAGAUUUGGAAGAAAAUCUGCUGGUUGGAGAAAUCCCAGCUUCUCUUGGCCAUCUUUCGAAGCUCCAACUCUUGAUACUAAGUCAAAACAGACUAAGUGGAACUGUUCCUGAUACACUGGCAACCAUCUCAAGCUUGACAGACAUUCGGUUGGCCUACAAUAAUCUCUCCGGUCCAAUACCUGCUCAACUAUUUCAAGUUGCACGUUACAACUUUUCUGGCAAUAACUUGACUUGUGGAGCAAACUUCGCUCAUCCUUGUGCAUCAAGUUCGCCUUACCAAGGUGAGGAUGACCGAAGAAUUGCAUUUGGGCAGUUGAAAAGGUUUGCAUGGCGAGAAUUACAACUCGCUACUGAUAACUUCAGUGAGAAAAAUGUUCUUGGACAAGGGGGCUUUGGAAAAGUAUAUAAAGGAGCACUUCCAGAUGGCACUAAGAUAGCCGUAAAGCGGUUAACUGAUUAUGAAAGUCCUGGUGGGGAGGCUGCCUUCCUGCGUGAAGUUGAGCUGAUUAGUGUUGCAGUUCACCGGAAUCUUUUAAGAUUGAUUGGGUUCUGUACAACACAAACAGAACGUCUACUUGUUUAUCCUUUCAUGCAGAAUCUUAGCGUAGCCUACCGUUUGCGAGAAUUUAAACCUGGGGAACCAAUAUUAGAUUGGAAUGCAAGGAAACGAGUGGCUAUAGGCACAGCGCGCGGACUGGAGUACCUGCACGAGCACUGCAAUCCUAAGAUCAUACACCGUGAUGUCAAGGCCGCGAAUGUCUUGCUUGAUGAAGGUUUCGAACCAGUUGUCGGCGACUUUGGCUUGGCAAAGUUGGUGGAUGUACAGAAGACAUCUGUGACCACUCAAGUCCGAGGGACUAUGGGUCACAUUGCACCAGAAUAUCUGUCCACAGGGAAGUCAUCUGAGAGAACUGAUGUUUUCGGCUAUGGUAUAAUGCUUCUUGAAGUGGUCACCGGGCAGCGUGCCAUUGACUUUUCACGUCUGGAGGAAGAAGAUGACGUGUUGUUACUUGAUCAUGUGAAGAAGCUGCAAAGAGAGGGGAAUCUAGACGCCAUCGUGGACCGAAAUCUGAACAACAGCUUCGACAGGCAGGAGGUGGAGAUGAUGAUGCAGAUCGCGCUGCUGUGCACCCAGGGGUCGCCUGAGGACCGGCCCUCCAUGUCGGAGGUGGUAAGGAUGCUGGAAGGGGAAGGCCUGGCGGAGCGGUGGGAGGAGUGGCAGCAGGUGGAGGUGACGAGGAGGGAGGACUACGAGCGGAUGCAGCAGCGGUUCGACUGGGGCGAGGACUCCAUCUACAACCAGGACGCCAUCGAACUGUCCGCCGGCAGAUAA